rnacentral:rRNA from 1 species
UACGUAGGGUGCAAGCGUUGUCCGGAAUUAUUGGGCGUAAAGAGCUCGUAGGCGGUCUGUCGCGUCGGCUGUGAAAACCCCGGGGCUCAACCCCGGGCCUGCAGUCGAUACGGGCAGACUAGAGUGCGGUAGGGGAGACUGGAAUUCCUGGUGUAGCGGUGAAAUGCGCAGAUAUCAGGAGGAACACCGGUGGCGAAGGCGGGUCUCUGGGCCGUAACUGACGCUGAGACACGAAAGCGUGGGUAGCAAACAGG